ACCCAGCUGACGGGUCUCAAAUAGAACGAAACAUGUGUUCUGGAU
rfam:Schistosoma mattheei strain Denwood, Zambia genome assembly, scaffold: SMTD_scaffold0001451